rnacentral:lncRNA from 1 species
GAAAAAUAAAAAGAUGAACUCUUUGAGAUUAGAGGUAAUAAUAUCAAGAAAUAUCUGUUCUCAUUUGAGUGCAUGUGUCUCUGCAAAAUUCAUAUGUUGGAACUUAAAGCCCAGGGUGAUGGUAUUAAGAGGUGGUAGAAAGGCAUUUGGGAAUGGAUUACAUCAUAAAGGCUCUACCCUGAUUAAUGGGAUUAUGGAACAGGCUUCAAAGAGCUACCUGGAACUUCCAUCACUUCUACCAUGUGAAGAUAAACAUGAAUCUCUUUUUUCCCUUAUAUUUCUUCUGCCAUGUGAGAACACAGUAUUUGUCUUUUCCACCUUUCCAUGAUGUGAGGACACCCCAAGAAUGUCCCCUAAAGACAGGAAACAAGACAUGGAAUCUUCUGGCACCAUGAUCUUGGACUUCAUAGCCUCCAAAAUGAAUAGAGAACCUACAGACCCGCAUGUAUUGAAGUUUGAAACCACCUGUGUAAACAGCACACAGAUGAAGGACCACUUUACCCUGUUUCUCACACCAUAGGUGUCAUAGACAUACUAAUGAAGGGGCUGCCUCACACAGAGAGCUAUCUUACAAGGUUCUGAGAAUAAAAUGAGAGCUAGAAGAGACAUGAUUUCUACUUCAAUAUUUUAUUUGGCAACAUCCUACUGAAAAGACAAGCAAAACCACUAUGAUUCAUAAUACUUGCAGAUGAAGGCAAUAUGACACAAGAAGGUUAAACGGCCUCUCAUGACAAUCUUUGCUGUUCUAAGAGAAGUCAAGGUGAAGGGUUUAGUGCCUCUGAAGCUGGGGCAAGAAAACAAUCGGCUUCUCCAACGGUCAGUAAAGAAUACAAGGGCACAGUUAAAACAGAGCCACUGAAGUGAACAACCUUCAUGUGACCAACAGGAGAAACACCCCCUCCAGGAACCUAAGACCAGUUUGCUACAAGAAUACAAUUGGUAUUCCCCACAGUCACCCUCACAAGGGACACUUACAAAGCACACUCCAAUCUCAGCCAUUACUGACUGACAAGAGCCUGCCUGUCUGAAGCCUGCAGGCCCGAGAAGCUUCUUUCUCCCUUCUCUUGGCUAUUAGUCACAGCUGGUAAGGCUCACAGGAACCGAGACUGUUUGAAAACAGUUGGAUCACGAAAACGUUUGAGUCUUUCUGCUGCAAGCAACAAACUUGGCCCAGGCUGCCACAAGGAGAUGGAGUGGGAGUGGGGGUGGCGAUGGGAUGCACCAGGAACGAAGGAAGAAAGGGAAAUUGCUAACCACCUCACUUCAAAAUCUUCUCUGAGGGAGCCCGUGGCUAUUAUCCUGGUUCAAAUGUCACAGAUAGAAGAUAAUAAAAACAAGAAGAAAUAAAAUUCAAGAUCCAUUAGAACACUUCUGGAUUGUCCAUUACAGCAUGUAUUACCCAACAGAAAGAUGAUCACUAAUAGAUGACAAGCUAUUUAAUUUUAUGUUUACUUUUGGAAGGAUGCAGGUACUGUGCAGGGUUUCUACAACACAUCAGCAUUGCUUACACCAGUACUUCAAAUAUGAGUUAUUUAAUCACCCAAGUUAAAUGAAAAUAACCAAAUGAUUAAAUAAAAUCAAGUCAUACUUCAUGUGAAGACUUUA